rnacentral:rRNA from 1 species
GAUGAACGCUGGCGGCGUGCCUAAUACAUGCAAGUCGAGCGAACAGACGAGGAGCUUGCUCCUCUGACGUUAGCGGCGGACGGGUGAGUAACACGUGGAUAACCUACCUAUAAGACUGGGAUAACUUCGGGAAACCGGAGCUAAUACCGGAUAACAUGUUGAACCGCAUGGUUCAACAGUGAAAGACGGUUUUGCUGUCACUUAUAGAUGGAUCCGCGUCGCAUUAGCUAGUUGGUAAGGUAACGGCUUACCAAGGCAACGAGGCGUAGCCGACCUGAGAGGGUGAUCGGCCACACUGGAACUGAGACACGGUCCAGACUCCUACGGGAGGCAGCAGUAGGGAAUCUUCCGCAAUGGGCGAAAGCCUGACGGAGCAACGCCGCGUGAGUGAAGAAGGUCUUCGGAUCGUAAAACUCUGUUAUUAGGGAAGAACAAAUGUGUAAGUAACUAUGCACGUCUUGACGGUACCUAAUCAGAAAGCCACGGCUAACUACGUG